AGUGAACGCUGGCGGUAGGCCUAACACAUGCAAGUCGAACGGCAGCACAGUAAGAGCUUGCUCUUACGGGUGGCGAGUGGCGGACGGGUGAGGAAUACAUCGGACUCUACUUUUUCGUGGGGGAUAACGUAGGGAAACUUACGCUAAUACCGCAUACGACCUACUGGUGAAAGCAUGGGAUCUUCGGACCUUGCGCGAUUGAAUGAGCCGAUGUCGGAUUAGCUAGUUGGCGGGGUAAAGGCCCACCAAGGCGACGAUCCGUAGCUGGUCUGAGAGGAUGAUCAGCCACACUGGAACUGAGACACGGUCCAGACUCCUACGGGAGGCAGCAGUGGGGAAUAUUGGACAAUGGGCGCAAGCCUGAUCCAGACAUACCGCGUGGGUGAAGAAGGCCUUCGGGUUGUAAAGCCCUUUUGUUGGGAAAGAAAAGCAGCAGGUUAAUACCCCGCUGUUCUGACGGUACCCAAAGAAUAAGCACCGGCUAACUUCGUG
rnacentral:rRNA from 1 species